rnacentral:tRNA from 7 species
GCGCUCGUAGCUCAGUCGGUAGAGCAUCUGACUUUUAAUCAGAGGGCCUGGGAUUCGAGUUCCCACGAGCGCACCA